rnacentral:rRNA from 1 species
GACGAACGCUGGCGGCGUGCUUAACACAUGCAAGUCGAACGGAAAGGCCCUGCUUUUGUGGGGUGCUCGAGUGGCGAACGGGUGAGUAACACGUGAGUAACCUGCCCUUGACUUUGGGAUAACUUCAGGAAACUGGGGCUAAUACCGGAUAGGAGCUCCUGCUGCAUGUUGGGGGUUGGAAAGUUUCGGCGGUUGGGGAUGGACUCGCGGCUUAUCAGCUUGUUGGUGGGGUAGUGGCUUACCAAGGCUUUGACGGGUAGCCGGCCUGAGAGGGUGACCGGCCACAUUGGGACUGAGAUACGGCCCAGACUCCUACGGGAGGCAGCAGUGGGGAAUAUUGCACAAUGGGCGGAAGCCUGAUGCAGCAACGCCGCGUGCGGGAUGACGGCCUUCGGGUUGUAAACCGCUUUCGCCUGUGACGAAGCGUGAGUGGCGGUAAUGGGUAAAGAAGCACCGGCUAACUACGUG